GAUGAACGCUAGCUACAGGCUUAACACAUGCGAGUCGAGGGGAAACGGCAUCGAAAGCUUGCUUUUGAUGGGCGUCGACCGGCGCACGGGUGAGUAACGCGUAUCCAACCUGCCCAUCACUUGGGAAUAACCUUGCGAAAGUAAGAAUAAUGCCCAAUGACAUCCCACGAAGGCAUCCGAAUGGGAUUAAAGAUUUAUCGGUGAUGGAUGGGGAUGCGUCUGAUUAGCUUGUUGGCGGGGUGACGGCCCACCAAGGCAACGAUCAGUAGGGGUUCUGAGAGGAAGGUCCCCCACAUUGGAACUGAGACACGGUCCAAACUCCUACGGGAGGCAGCAGUGAGGAAUAUUGGUCAAUGGGCGAGAGCCUGAACCAGCCAAGUAGCGUGCAGGAUGACGGCCCUAUGGGUUGUAAACUGCUUUUAUAAGGGAAUAAAGUGGGUCACGUGUGACUUUUUGCAUGUACCUUAUGAAUAAGGACCGGCUAAUUCCGUG
rnacentral:rRNA from 1 species